rnacentral:rRNA from 1 species
CGGCGAACGGGUGAGUAACACGUGGGUGAUCUGCCUCGCACUCUGGGAUAAGCCUGGGAAACUGGGUCUAAUACCGGAUAUGACCUUACAUCGCAUGGUGUUUGGUGGAAAGAUUUAUCGGUGCGAGAUGGGCCCGCGGCCUAUCAGCUUGUUGGUGGGGUAAUGGCCUACCAAGGCGACGACGGGUAGCCGGCCUGAGAGGGCGACCGGCCACACUGGGACUGAGACACGGCCCAGACUCCUACGGGAGGCAGCAGUGGGGAAUAUUGCACAAUGGGCGAAAGCCUGAUGCAGCGACGCCGCGUGAGGGAUGACGGCCUUCGGGUUGUAAACCUCUUUCGACAGGGACGAAGCGCAAGUGACGGUACCUGUAGAAGAAGCACCGGCCAACUACGUGCCAGCAGCCGCGGUAAUACGUAGGGUGCGAGCGUUGUCCGGAAUUACUGGGCGUAAAGAGCUUGUAGGCGGCUUGUCGCGUCGAUCGUGAAAACUUGGGGCUCAACCCCAAGCUUGCGGUCGAUACGGGCAGGCUUGAGUACUUCAGGGGAGACUGGAAUUCCUGGUGUAGCGGUGAAAUGCGCAGAUAUCAGGAGGAACACCGGUGGCGAAGGCGGGUCUCUGGGAAGUAACUGACGCUGAGAAGCGAAAGCGUGGGUAGCGAACAGGAUUAGAUACCCUGGUAGUCCACGCCGUAAACGGUGGGUACUAGGUGUGGGUUUCCUUCCACGGGAUCCGUGCCGUAGCUAACGCAUUAAGUACCCCGCCUGGGGAGUACGGCCGCAAGGCUAAAACUCAAAGGAAUUGACGGGGGCCCGCACAAGCGGCGGAGCAUGUGGAUUAAUUCGAUGCAACGCGAAGAACCUUACCUGGGUUUGACAUACACCGGAAACCUGCAGAGAUGUAGGCCCCCUUGUGGUCGGUGUACAGGUGGUGCAUGGCUGUCGUCAGCUCGUGUCGUGAGAUGUUGGGUUAAGUCCCGCAACGAGCGCAACCCUUAUCUUAUGUUGCCAGCGCGUAAUGGCGGGGACUCGUGAGAGACUGCCGGGGUCAACUCGGAGGAAGGUGGGGACGACGUCAAGUCAUCAUGCCCCUUAUGUCCAGGGCUUCACACAUGCUACAAUGGCCGGUACAGAGGGCUGCGAUACCGUGAGGUGGAGCGAAUCCCUUAAAGCCGGUCUCAGUUCGGAUCGGGGUCUGCAACUCGACCCCGUGAAGUUGGAGUCGCUAGUAAUCGCAGAUCAGCAACGCUGCGGUGAAUACGUUCCCGGGCCUUGUACACACC